AUAACUUCCACGGUCCUUUCUGAGUGGUUGUAUCAACAAAGCUGUUCAAUCUUUGCACCCAGAGGUUGCAGUAAGUCUGGAUGCCACAUCAAACUGUUUGUGGUACUUCUAAACUUCGUGGAAGAGCCCUGUUUCAUAAAUCUGAGACAGCCUUGGUCUGAGGGAGCAAAGACAGAGAAUUCACGUGCUGCCCAGGCAUAGCCACAUAGCAGGUGGACAUCCCUGGACACUUUUCUGAGAUUUUAUGUCAUAGACCCUCAUUGGAUUUUCCUGGAAGUACGGAGAGUUACAUCCAGAGAACUCUGAACAUUUUGGAAGGACCCCAAUCCUGCAAACAAUGAAUGGCAAUAAAUCCUGGGACUGGAAAGGUUUAAUGAAGCCAGCUGUCAUGUUGAUGAGACUCAUGUGUCAAGGAACUGAAGAUGGUCCAUAGCCAACAGCCAGCCAGGAACUGAUUGGCUAGUAGUCCUUGAGGAACUGAAUCUCACCAACAACCAUAUAGUGAACUUGCAAAUGGUGCUUCCUCAGUUGAAACUAAAGAUGAGACUGAAGUCCUAGUUAACACUUUGUUUGCCACCUUGUAAGAUUGUGAAACAGAGGCCUGAGCUAAGCCAUGCCCAGAUUCUUGAUCCACAGAAACUGUGAGAUAAUAAAUGUGCAUUGAUUUAAGCCUCAGAUUUUGUGGUAAUGCUUUACAAAGCAAUAAGUAACUAAUGCAGUAUUCAACAAAUUUUUUGAAAAAAAAAAGAUGCUUGAAGACCUGUAUUUAAUUAUUUUUGUGAAGAAUACUCAAUGUAUACUGACUGCACCUGGGUUUUUAGUCUUAACCAAAUCAUAUACCAGUUUUAUGACCUGGCAAAAAUGUUUUUCUCUCUCUCUAGAGGUCACUUUCUUCAUCUGUUAAACGAGGUAAUUAAUUUAGAUGAUCUUUAAAAUGUCCACUAGAUUUCAUACAUCUAUCACAUAUGAUUUCAUGUAUAUGUAAUGAAAACAAAUUUUAUAUAUAUACAAAAUUUAUUUUCACUUGCAUUUAUGAAACAGGAGAAACAAAAUAAAAUUACAUUUAUUUAUUUUAAUUUAAUCUUGAAAGUAAAUUCAUGUUAUCUUCUAAAAAUGUUUCAGUUUACAAUUCAUCCAUAUUAACUUUAAUAAAAUGAUAUUUGGUUAUCUAACGGAAGAUUUAUUGAAAAUAUAUCUGCUUCAAAUAUCUCAUUAUUUUACAUUUAGUAGCUAAACUAAAUCUUAAAAAUGCUUCUGAGUUUUACCUAAAUGGGUAGUUUCUUAAAAAUACUGAAUUGAGGCUUCUAGCUAAUUGCCUAAAAUGUAUAUUUUAAAAGAUAAGGAAGAAAUUUAAAUGUAGGGAAUAAGAUUAAAUUACCAAAUAAAAUCCAUUUUUUCUAGUAAUUGGCAGAUAAAUUUAAUACAGAAAAACUUUGUUAUUCAAUAUGCCAAAAUAUCUAAUAUUAAAGUGAUAUACUAAUAAAUAUAUUUGGCAUAUUAUUAUGGUACUUUCAGUUCUCAAACUUUUAAAGUAAAAAUAUUGAUCAAGAUUUAUGCAUGACCACUUUUUUUUUUUUUUUUUUAUUUAGACAGUCUCACUCUGUUGCCCAGGCCGGAGUGCAGUGGCGCAAUCUCAGCUCACUGCAACCUCUGCGUCCAGGUUUCAAGGUAUUCUCCUGUCUCAGCCUUCUGAGUAGCUGGGAUUACAAGUGUGUGCCACCACACCUGGCUAAUUUUUUAAUUUUUACUAGAGACAGGAUUUCACCAUGUUGUCCAGGCUGGUUUUGAAUUCCUGACCUCAAGUGAUUCACCGGCCUCGGCCUCCCAGAGUGCUGGUAUUACAGAGGUGAGCCACUGUGCCCAGCCAAUUAUUUCUUUUUGAUGCAAGAAAAUCAUUUAUGGUGCAGAAGUUGUCUAUUUGUCUAUUUUUGCUUUGGUUACCUAUGCUUUUGAGGUCUUACUCAAGAAAUCUUUGUCCAUACCAAUGUCCUAAAGUGUUUCCCCAAUGUUUUCUUCAAGUAGUUUCAUAGUUUCAGGUCUUACGUUUAAGUCUUUAAUUCAGUUUGAUUUGAUUUUUGUAUAUGGUGAGAGAUAGAGGUCUAGUUUCAUUCUUCUACAUAUACAGUUUUCCUAGUAAAAUUUAUUGAAGAGACUGUCCUUUCCUCAAUAUAUGUUAUUGGUGCUCAGUAGCAAAAUAGAAUGACUAUAGUUAACAAUAAUUUAUUGUAUAUUUUAAAAUAACUAGAGAGUGAAUUUGGAAUGUUCCCAAUGCAAAGAAAUAAUAAAUGUUUGAGGUGAUGGACAUCCCAAUUACCCUGAUUUGAUCAUUAUAUAUUAUAUGCUUGUAUCAAAACAUCACAUGUACCCCAUAAAUAUGUACAACAACUAUGUACCUAUAAAUAUUGAAAAUAAAUAAUUUUUUAAAAAGAAAAUUCUGAAUUUGAGAUUUUAAAAUCAAAUUCAAGGUAUAAUACUGGUCAAAAAUUGUGAACCAAAUAUGUUAUUUUAGUUUUUUUAUUGCUGUGGUAACAAAUUAAAACAAACUUAGCCACUUAAAAUAACACCCAUUUAUUAUCUUCCAGUUUUUAUGAUUCCAAAGUGUUGGCUCAGCAUGGCUCUACUGAAUUCUCUGCUUAGGGCCCACGAGGCUGAAAUCAAGUUGUCACCUAGGCUUUGUGUUUUACUAGAGGCUAGAGGAAAGAAUUGGCUUUAAUGCUUAUUGAACUUGGAGGCAGAAUUCAUAUUCUUCUCACGUUUUCAAGACAGCCAAUGGGCAAAAGUACUCAUACUUCAAAUCUCUUUGUUCUCUGCUGAAUCUGUCUACAUUUAAAGACUCAUGAUAUUACAUUGAGCCCACCUGGAUAAUCCAGGAUAACCUCCCUAUUUUAGAACAAUCUUCACUGCCUCUGCAAUUUUUUUUUUUUUUUUGCCAUGUAAUAUAACAUAGCCAUAGGGAUGACACCAAGGGGUGAAUGAGGGUUAUGGGGCUCAAAAUUCUGUCUACCACAUAUGAUGGAGCUCUUCAUUUUCCUCUCACAUUAUGAGAUUCUCUAUUAAGUGUUCAGUUUAAUUAUUCUUUUAGAUAUUAAAUUUUAAAGGUAAGACCAAAUUAACUUUUUAAUAUAAAUGAUAAAAGUUUACAAAUAUCCAACUAUCUGUUACCCAAAAAUUAAUCUUUCAGAGUAAAAAGAAUUUAGUUAUGGAAAUAAUAAAUUGAAAAG
rnacentral:lncRNA from 1 species